rnacentral:other from 1 species
AGCAUUCUGCCUUGUGCGACCAAGCCUGAUUUGAUAUAAUCCAACACUUAUAUUCAGGGAAUCCUGCUCUGUGUCAAGUAUUGCAGACCUCCCGCUGACAACAGCGGUUGCCAGGGAGCGUGAGAUGCACAGGCGAAUACCCACCUGCUCAAAGCGGGUUUUAUUGUUCAGGCGACGGCAAGGCGGAGACUG